rnacentral:rRNA from 1 species
UACGUAGGGGGCAAGCGUUGUCCGGAUUUAUUGGGCGUAAAGAGCGUGUAGGCGGGUUGGUAGGUCCGUUGUGAAAACUCGAGGCUCAACCUCGAGACGCCGAUGGAAACCAUCAGACUAGAGUCCGGAAGAGGAGAGUGGAAUUCCUGGUGUAGCGGUGAAAUGCGCAGAUAUCAGGAGGAACACCGGUGGCGAAGGCGGCUCACUGGCUCGUAUCUGACGCUCAGGCGCGACAGCGUGGGGAUCAAACAGG